rnacentral:misc_RNA from 1 species
ACAAACUUGGUCAUUUAGAGGAAGUAAAAGUCGUAACAAGGUUUCCGUAGGUGAACCUGCGGAAGGAUCAUUAAUGAUUUGAAAAGUGAGCUCAUGAAUAAAAAAAUGAGUUUACAAACUUUCUAUUUUAAACCCCUGUUUUAAAAAUGUUUACUAGAAUGUUUUUGAAAAUUAUAACUGUAAUAGUUGUAAUGAUUUAUAAAAAGUUUAAUAAUAAAACUUUCAGCAAUGGAUCUCUUGGUUCAGGCAUCGAUGAAGAACGCAGC